CAUACACGUCCAACACCUAUGAAGGAAAAUCGUUUUAGUCGUUUAUUAGUAUCUUUUCGUAGCAUAUUUUACUACUUUCCAAUCGUUAACUCUUUAAAUAGCGUACGUUUAAUGGCGCCAACAAUUUGAAAUCGCUUUUUUUUAUAUUAGAACGAGUGAGAUAAGAAUUUCCUAAAAGCUAUAAAUUUUAUCAAACGAAGAAUCUAAUGAAAUCUCACCAAUACGGACCACUGAUGGUUUAUUGCACUUCAAAUAAAAGAAGAUAAGCUUCGUCUAAUUUACACGAAUUUUAACAUAGCAAAAAUUCAAGGAAAUCGUGCGUGAGAAACGUUCACAACCAGAGUAUUUGAUAUUGAAAGAGUUAAUAGGAAUUACGUAUUACAAAUGCGAAUAAAAGAUCAGAAGGAAGAAAUUAAAUAUUGAUGGCUCACCUGCUUCAUAU